rnacentral:rRNA from 1 species
AACGAACGCUGGCGGCAUGCCUAACACAUGCAAGUCGAACGAGACCUUCGGGUCUAGUGGCGCACGGGUGCGUAACGCGUGGGAACCUGCCCUUAGGUUCGGAAUAACUCCCCGAAAGGGGUGCUAAUACCGGAUAAUGUCUUCGGACCAAAGAUUUAUCGCCUUUGGAUGAGCCCGCGUUGGAUUAGCUAGUUGGUAGGGUAAAAGCCUACCAAGGCGACGAUCCAUAGCUGGUCUGAGAGGAUGAUCAGCCACACUGGGACUGAGACACGGCCCAGACUCCUACGGGAGGCAGCAGUGGGGAAUAUUGGACAAUGGGCGAAAGCCUGAUCCAGCAAUGCCGCGUGAGUGAUGAAGGCCUUAGGGUUGUAAAGCUCUUUUACCCGGGAUGAUAAUGACAGUACCGGGAGAAUAAGCUCCGGCGAACUCCGU